UUUGAUCCUCGGCUCAGAGCGAACGCUGGCGGGCAGGGCUUAACACAUGCAAGUCGAGCGGACCUUUCGGGGUCAGCGGCGGGCGGGUGAGUAACGCGUGGGAACGUGCCUUCCGGUUCGGAAUAACCCUGGGAAACUAGGGCUAAUACCGGAUACGCCCUUAUGGGGAAAGGUUUACUGCCGGAAGAUCGGCCCGCGUCUGAUUAGCUAGUUGGUGGGGUAACGGCCUACCAAGGCGACGAUCAGUAGCUGGUCUGAGAGGAUGAUCAGCCACACUGGGACUGAGACACGGCCCAGACUCCUACGGGAGGCAGCAGUGGGGAAUAUUGGACAAUGGGCGCAAGCCUGAUCCAGCCAUGCCGCGUGAGUGAUGAAGGCCUUAGGGUUGUAAAGCUCUUUUAUCCGGGACGAUAAUGACGGUACCGGANGAAUAAGCCCCGGCUAACUUCGUGCCAGCCGCCGCGGUA
rnacentral:rRNA from 1 species